UACGAUGGAGUGACGAGUCGUUCGGUUCGAUUACUGGGCGUAAAGAGCGCGCAGGCGGUCGUUCAAGUCGAGUGUGAAAGCCCCCGGCUCAACUGGGGAGGGUCAUUCGAUACUGAUCGACUGGAAGGCAGGAGAGGGAAGUGGAAUUCCCGGUGUAGUGGUGAAAUGCGUUGAGAUCGACAGGAACGCCGGUGGCGAAAGCGGGCCGCUGGCCCUCUUCUGACGCUGAGGCGCGAAAGCCAGGGGAGCGAACGGG
rnacentral:rRNA from 1 species